rnacentral:pre_miRNA from 1 species
UGUGUCACUUUGGCAGUGCAGUACUAGCUGGCUGUUUGGAUACCUUCUGUGUUACAGCAGCUGGUUGCACUCCAGAGUGCUGCAUUC